rnacentral:lncRNA from 1 species
UGCCACAAGGAUAAUAUUGUUGGUACUGCACCAUCUCUAAGAGCAUCCAAAAAGAUUUUGCUAUACCAGCAAGAAUGGUCCUGUUGAGGCAAAAUAAAAUAAAAUCUUCGUAUAAUGAGUUUAAGGGUAAGAUAUACCUGGUUUUUGGCAGUUUCAUCUUCUCCUUCUACGUAGCACUGGCCUCAAGGCUUUCUCUAGAUAAACACUAGGUGUUACGGUGUUACAUUUGCAUUAUCCUCUUUCAAGUCCAAGCAGAAGUUCUAAAAGUGACAAGUGAAAAAGC